rnacentral:rRNA from 1 species
UACGAAGGGGGCUAGCGUUGCUCGGAAUCACUGGGCGUAAAGGGCGCGUAGGCGGCCGAUUAAGUCGGGGGUGAAAGCCUGUGGCUCAACCACAGAAUUGCCUUCGAUACUGGUUGGCUUGAGACCGGAAGAGGACAGCGGAACUGCGAGUGUAGAGGUGAAAUUCGAUUAGAUAUUCGCAAGAACACCAGUGGCGAAGGCGGCUGUCUGGUCCGGUUCUGACGCUGAGGCGCGAAAGCGUGGGGAGCAAACAGG